rnacentral:tRNA from 1 species
GCAUUGGUUGUCCAAUGGUAGAACUCUCGCCUUCCGUGCCGGGGACCCAGGUUUGAUUCCCAGCCAAUGCA